AACGAACGCUGGCGGCAGGCCUAACACAUGCAAGUCGAGCGGACCUUUCGGGGUCACCUGCUGAUGGGUGAGUAACGCGUGGGAAUGUGCCCUUCUCUACCGAAUAGUCCUGGUACACUGGGGGUAACACCGUAUACGCCCCUCUGGGGCAAGAUAUGUCGGGGAAGGAAUAGCCCGCGUUGGAUUAGGUAGUUGGUGGGGUAAUGGCCUACCACGCGGACGAUCCAUAGCUGGUUAGAGAGGAAGAGCAGCCACACUGGGGCUGAGCAGCGGCCGAGACUCCUACGGGAGGCAGGAGUGGGGAAUCUUAGCCAAUGGGGGCAACCCUGAUCUAGCCAUGCCGGGUGAGUGAUGAAGGCCUUAGGGUUGUAAAGCUCUUUCAGCUGGGAAGAUAAUGACGGUACCAGCAGAAGAAGCCCCGGCUAACUCCGUG
rnacentral:rRNA from 1 species